rnacentral:rRNA from 1 species
ACUACGUGAGGCUGCAGUGGGGAAUAUUGGGCAAUGGGCGCAAGCCUGACCCAGCAACGCCGCGUGAAGGAAGAAGGCUUUCGGGUUGUAAACUUCUUUUCUCAGGGACGAAGCAAGUGACGGUACCUGAGGAAUAAGCCACGGCUAACUACGUGCCAGCAGCCGCGGUAAUACGUAGGUGGCAAGCGUUAUCCGGAUUUACUGGGUGUAAAGGGGGUGUAGGCGGGCAUGGAAGGCAGAUGUGAAAACCACGGGCUCAACCUGUGGCCUGCAUUUGAAACUGUAGUUCUUGAGUACUGGAGAGGCAGACGGAAUUCCUAGUGUAGCGGGGAAAUGCGUAGAUAUUAGGAGGAAAACCAGUGGCGAAGGCGGUCUGCUGGACAGCAACUGACGCUGAGGCGCGAAAGCGUGGGGAGCAAACAGGAUUAGAUACCCGGGUAGUC